UUGCAGUUGUACGUGGGCUAACACAUGGCAGAGCAGCCCAGCUCUGACAGCCUGAGAGCGGAGAGAGAGAGAGAGAGAAUGAAGAGAAGGGAGGGGGAAAGAGAGAGAAUGAUAGCAUGAUAGAAAGCGAGAGAAUCGGAGAGUUAAAGAGAGAGAGAGACAUCGAGAGGGCCAGUGAAUGGUAACACAGGAUCAACCCUCAGCCAACGCAUCAGCAGAAGAUAACCGGAUCAUAAUGGAGGAAAAAACCCUGCUGCGAGAGAGACUACAGGCUAUAACAGUGAGUAUCAGGCUGUUAAAAAUAAUGCUGCAAAGUCUCCCUCUCAAAUAGAUUAUUAGUUCU
rnacentral:lncRNA from 1 species